AUUGAACGCUGGCGGCAGGCCUAACACAUGCAAGUCGAACGAGUGGCGGACGGGUGUGUAAUGUCUGGGAAACUGCCUGAUGGAGGGGGAUAACUACUGGAAACGGUAGCUAAUACCGCAUACCAUCAGAUGUGCCCAGGUGGGGUUGGCUUGUUGGUGGUGUAACGGCUCACCAAGGCGACGAUCCCUAGCUGGUCUGCGAGGAUGACCAGCCCAACUGGAACUGAGACACGGUACAGAGUCCUACGUGAGGCAGCAGUUGGGAAUAUUGCACAAUGGGCGCAAGCCUGAUGCAGCCAUGCCGCGUGUAUGAAGGAGGCCGUCGGGUUGUAAAGUACUUUCAGCGGGGAGGCGUUACCCGCAGAAGAAGCACCGGCUAACUCCGUGCCAGCAGCCGCGGUAAUUC
rnacentral:rRNA from 1 species